rnacentral:sRNA from 1 species
AGUGAACUUUGUUUGAAGUGGAAAUCCUUUUUCCUUUUUUCUUUAAAAAGAAAAAGAUUGCAAAGGAAAGCGGGACAAUUA